UACGGAGGAUUCGAGCGUUAUCCGGAAUCAUUGGGUUUAAAGGGUCCGUAGGCGGGUUAGUAAGUCAGGGGUGAAAGUUUUCGGCUUAACCGAAAAAUUGCCUUUGAUACUGCUAGUCUUGAAUAUUUGUGAAGUAACUAGAAUAUGUGGUGUAGCGGUGAAAUGCAUAGAUAUCACAUGGAAUACCGAUUGCGAAGGCAGGUUACUAACAGAUUAUUGACGCUGAUGGACGAAAGCGUGGGUAGCGAACAGG
rnacentral:rRNA from 1 species